UACGAAGGGGGCUAGCGUUGCUCGGAAUGACUGGGCGUAAAGGGCGCGUAGGCGGUUUGUACAGUCAGAUGUGAAAUUCCUGGGCUUAACCUGGGGGCUGCAUUUGAUACGUGCAGACUUGAGUGAGGAAGAGGGUUGUGGAAUUCCCAGUGUAGGGGUGAAAUUCGUAGAUAUUGGGAAGAACACCGGUGGCGAAGGCGGCAACCUGGUCCGUGACUGACGCUGAGGCGCGAAAGCGUGGGGAGCAAACAGG
rnacentral:rRNA from 1 species